AGUAGUUCUCAGCUGUGAUGCAACAAAGCAUUUCAAAACCUCUAGCUGAAUGCUAAGACAAAGGCUUCUCAUUGUGUGAAAGCUGAAGGAUCUCUCCCUGCAUUCCCUUCAUGGGCAUCUCUAGGCUACUUGGCCUCAUGGAUGCUUCAGGCUCUCCAGUGGCUUCAGAGAUCCCUAGUUUCCAGCAUUCCCCCUCCUGCUGCAUGUCUCAGUCUAACUGGUCAUUGAUAGUGGCAGGAGACAGACAAAUUCCUAGGCCGACAGGGUUGGGUUCCUGGUGAAACCCAGCCUUCAAAUCAAAGACAAUUUAAAGCCUGAAAACCGACCUGCUGAUUCCAGAUAGAGUCUACAACCAGAGACACGGCUUUACCUCCUUCUCCAGAGGAUGCAACAAUAAGGCACCAUCUUGGAAGCAGAAAGCAGCCCUCACCAGACACCAAAUCUGCCAGCACCUUGAUCUUGGAUUUCCCAGACUCCAGAACUAUGUGGUCUUUCAUUUCCUCGGCAGAAUACUCCUGGCAUGAUCUUUAAGGAAUGAAAUGUUGUCUACCAACCUCGGCUGAGUGUACACAGUUCUGGGAAAAGGUGCAUCUUAGACUAAUCUGAUUUAGUAAGUGAAUAUAAAAUGCUCCCCAGGACACCUUGCUAGUAAAGACUCCAACUAAGAUUAGAGUAUGAAUUAAUAGAGCCAAGAAUGGACAUUGGAGUGGGAAUUUA